AUACUUCAGAUAAAUUGAGAUCUUAAUGGUAUUGAAAGUAAUGAACAAAUUUGUCUUUCUUCCUGAUACAAUAUACCAUGUUUAUGGCAAAAACAACUGUUGCGAUUGCAGAGAAAAUUAUCGUUUUUUUUUUUCAAGUGACAUGGCGGGUGGAUAUUUAUUGGUCAUUUCCUAGGCAUAGCAAUGAAGCUACCAAGCUGAAAAUAAGUUAAAAGCUUAAUUCUAUCCUUGAAAACAGGUAAACUUAACAUAUAACAUUACUACUUCAAACUGAUUUCAGGAAACAAAUUUUAGAUAGGUGAUGCAUUCAAAUCAUGAGAUGAACAACAAUAGAUUUUGUUUAUCUAGUAAAUUCUAUCAGCCUUGCUUUUAGUUAAUUGUGUAUAGUCCAUGGCCAUUCUCCCAGGAAAUGUCAUUUAAGGUGGUACAUAUAUUUAUUGUAUUUUUUGCCAUUGACACAUAGAAAUUUAUAAAACUUAAACUUUCACUGCAACUAUGAGCAGUGAAAAUAUACGAUUUUACAUUGAAAAUAUGAAUAAGAUUUUGCAUUGAAAAUAUAAGAUUUUCGUUUUUCACCAAUCACAGCGAACCUUUGCAUUCGAGUUCGGCUCAUUGAAACUUAAUGAUUUUUCGAAUCGAAGCGAAGAUAGAUAAAUGGGUUAUUUUACUGUACAUAUUUCUGAAAUAUUCAGACUAGUUUUUGACAAAAUACUCACUUGACGUAAGCAAAUCAUGCACAGAUUCUCCGACAACAGCAGAAAAAUCUUAAUUGGGUGAUCAGUCCUUUCAAAAUGGCGCCAUCAAGUUGGCGUGGAGUAAUGUCACGAAAAGGUGACGUCAUCAAUUAUGUUACCGAUUCCCGCACUUUUUGACACUCAAUUUUUCAAUGUUUUUAAUUUUGUUUUUUAAGUACAUAAAAUGCAAUAAAAAGAAAAUUUAAUGGUUUCCUGUUUAAUAUAUUAACAUACAUUUCACUCGUACGACAGAAUAUUUCGAUAUUUUUCACUCUUUUUUUUUUUAAUGGCUUAGAAUCCUAAGGGAUAUGUUGAAUGGCAGUAUUUUUCUAUCAAUAUUUACUUAAUAGCAUUGUGUAUAGCAUUGUUUGUGAACAGCCAAUUAAUUAAAAGAAAGCAUUAUGAAAUAAGAAUUAAGGAAAUACAAAUAUGAUAUGCUUUGUUAUGUGAUGUUGGUACAUAUUUUUAAAAGACACUAUUUUUGUUGCUUUCAAACUAAGCAGUGUCGAUAUAACUUGAAAUAUUGUGAAAAUGAAAUACUUCCAUAAUUUACAUCAUAUACAUUGUAUAUGGUUAUUGUUCCAUAAUGAUCAUAUUUCCAUGAUUUAUGUUUUUGGAAAUAUGGUUGAAUAUAUAUUAUGAUUGGCUAAUUCUGAUGAAUAUAAUUGAAGAAAUAAUAUACAAAUAUGUCACUCUGUUUUGAUCGAAAUGAAAAAUUGAUCCAAACAAAAGCACCGUAACAGUUUUAUUGAAUUUCGGUAUCAAAAUCAAAGUACAGAAUACUGAAUGCAAUAUUCCAUGCCAUUCGGAUCAAAUUGUAUUAUUUUAUAUUAUUUUUCUCAUUGCACAUUUGGCCAAAAAUAUUCACCAGAAUUGUAGUUGCAAGAUAUUUUCAUUGCACAGUUUAUUCUUCCAGUUUAUAAUGUGUAUCGAGACGCCAGUAACUGUAAAAUGUUUAAAUGAUUUUGUUCCCUUUGGUCCCAAUGUAGAAUUACAGUUGUAAUACAGAUGAAAUAAUUAACAUGUUGUAAUACAGAUAAAAUAAUUAACAUGUGUGAGUUGUACGAAUUGGUGUAAGCUUUUAUGAUUUUAUUUUAAUUAUUUUCAUAUAUUAUAGUAAAAUGUUCAUUUCCAGAUAGAUGUGUUGUAUUUCCCAUUCCAAACCCUGGCAGUAUAUACAAAUACCACUAUUCCAGGGACGUACCCAUCAAUAUCUAACCACAAAAAAAUGAAUUGGCCCGUAUAAUUGUCACUAACUGUUGAUAGACAGGUUUCACCAAUAAUAAUAUCUAAGUGGUCAUUGUACUAAUUAAAAAGCUGUAAAUUAAGUAAACACUAUAUGUAUUGCGGUAAAGUGAAGACAGAUGAUCAUGAGCCUGCAAGUUGAGAAUUGCUAAUGAAGUGUGGAGAAACAAGAUUUCUUUUAUUUAACGUAGAAUAUUUAACAACAUAAUACAGAGUGUAAAUUCAACAAAAAAUAUCACGGGAUACCCAAGUGUAUUUAUAUAUCAUAUGAUACUGUAACAGUAUACUACAUAUAAUAUCAGAAGGAUUAAGAUAACUGUACACUAGCUAUAUAACCGCUAACGGGAAAAAAAUCAUAACUGUUGUAAGUACAUUGUGUUAAAAUGUUUUCCACUGUUUUAUCGUGCUCCCUCCACGACUUAUCAAACCCUGACAUAAUUUGUGAUGAUGACUACGGUUGUUACGUAACGUGAUAUAGACGAUGAGUUGUGAUAAGCUUCCUACAGCUGCUGUAUACAUUAUGCCGUAUUUGGCAACAAAAUGGUUGUAAAAUUUUUCUUAUUUUUUUUUGCCAUUUUAUUGUCAGUGUUAGUUAAAAUGUGAUUUUGUAUAGAUAUAACAUGUUUUUAAAAGUAAUUUUGUGACUGAUUUGCCCUGUAAUGUAUUUUAUUUUGUGUUCAUGUGUAUCCAUAUAUAUUUCAGAAAUAAUUUUGAACUGUUACUAAGUACUGCUAUCAUCACAGGUCGGAUUGAAAUAUUGAUCAUUUGACCAGGUAAUAGUUCCUGCUGGUAAUUCGAUAUAUACAUAAUCCAGCAUCUCAGUUGGAUGUUGACCGUGCUUUAGUGCCGAGUUAUUUCCUGUUUGUGAUAUCACAGUGACAGAGGUAAUCCCUUGGUCACCUCACAAUUAAAUUACCUUAAUUACCAUAAACUCACAGCUUAUGCCCAAAUUGUAAAUUUUUUCGAAUAAUUGUAACCUGGUAAAUACUGGCCGCACUGUAACUUCAUCCAGAGCUAACUUCUCUUUAACUUGAUCCGGUUAAGGUGUUACUAGUAAGCCAGAGGUCAUGGAUUCCAUCCCUAGUGGAGACAGUGAUUUUAAUAAUAUAGUUCUCCUUUUAGUAGUAGAUGUAUAUUGCUGCUAGUAGUCACCAGUGUAACAUAAGGAAUAAGUUAAUAUAAUGAACAACAGCGUAGAUUUUAUUGGAUGAUCAGUAUUAAUACGGUACUACCGGUACUGUACAAGUGCAAGGAACGGAGAAGCUGAACAAACUUUGGAAUUGAUAAAAUAAUGUGUCGAUUUUUCAGAAUCAUUGUAAAGCAAAUGAGAAAUCUUUGCCGAUAUAAGAUUUUGAAAUAAAAAUAUCCAACUGUGCACUUUCAGUUACAUGAAGUGAACAAAAUAAAUCAUGUUAUCUUAUUGAGUAAUCUAACUUAGAAAAUCUGCAAUGUUCAACAAGGAGGAAUUCCUUUAUAAGAGUUUGUUUAUUUACAAAUAUUGCAGAUUGUGGUCGUAUGUAUAUAUACAUGUAUAUAGCUAAUGUUGUGUUCAUGGACUUGAAUGUAAUGUUCAUCAAAAUACUCAUCAUUUACCAUUGUGGUGUGUUCACUCAAUAGCUUAUAUAUAAUUACUCUUGUGGAAAUUUGUAUAUGUGUAUUGACAUUUUUUGAAGGAAAUGUAAGCUGGACUUUCAAAAAGAAGCAAUAUUUUAUUAUUUGUUCUUGCAGGAUCAGGAGAUAUCUAAAGCCAAUUAAAGGUUUAGAAAGGUUUAGUUUUCUUAGAAAGUUGAGAAAUCUCGGCGAUUUCUCAAAUCAUGAGAUUUUCUAACCUUAUGAAAAGUUAAGAAAUCUAGAUUUUCUCAUAUCAUCAUAUAUUUUAAGCCAAUAAAAGAUUUUUUAGAAAUCUCGUCUGUUUCUUAAAUCACGAGAUAAACGAAUGAAAAGUUUAGAAACCUCAGAAAUUUCUCAAAUAUUGAGAUUUUUAAAAACCAAUGAAGGAUUUAGAAUUACUAUCCUACCGUCCUGAAGUAAGAACAUGUAAUUUAAAACAAAACCUACAAAGUAUCUGUUUACGUCAUGUGUUGUGAACCGUACUGUUUAUUCUCAUACUGAUCAAUAAACCAUGUCAUAUUAAU